rnacentral:tRNA from 1 species
AGAAGUUUAAGUUAAUUAAACUAAUAGCCUUCAAAGCUUUCAUUGAAAAUUAAAAUUUUUCAACUUCUG